ACCGCCUACGGGGGGCAGCAGGGGGGAAUAUUGCACAAUGGGCGCAAGCCUGAUGCAGCGACGCCGCGUGCGGGAUGGAGGCCUUCGGGUUGUAAACCGCUUUUGUUCAAGGGCAAGGCACGGUCUUUGGCCGUGUUGAGUGGAUUGUUCGAAUAAGCACCGGCUAACUACGUGCCAGCAGCCGCGGUAAUACGUAGGGUACAAGCGUUAUCCGGAUUCAUUGGGCGUAAAGG
rnacentral:rRNA from 1 species